AACGAACGCUGGCGGCAUGCCUAACACAUGCAAGUCGAACGAGACCUUCGGGUCUAGUGGCGCACGGGUGCGUAACGCGUGGGAACCUGCCCUUAGGUUCGGAAUAACUCCCCGAAAGGGGUGCUAAUACCGGAUAAUGUCUUCGGACCAAAGAUUUAUCGCCUUUGGAUGGGCCCGCGUUGGAUUAGCUAGUUGGUAGGGUAAAAGCCUACCAAGGCGACGAUCCAUAGCUGGUCUGAGAGGAUGAUCAGCCACACUGGGACUGAGACACGGCCCAGACUCCUACGGGAAGCAGCAGUGGGGAAUAUCGGACAAUGGGCGAAAGCCUGAUCCAGCAAUGCCGCGUGAGUGAUGAAGGCCUUAGGGUUGUAAAGCUCUUUUACCCGGGAUGAUAAUGACAGUACCGGGAGAAUAAGCUCCGGCUAACUCCGUG
rnacentral:rRNA from 1 species